rnacentral:ncRNA from 1 species
AGGAGGCAAGCCCCCCCAUCUUCCGCAUAUCUUGCUCAUCCGACAUGGCAUGAAUCCGUUUGGCACCUCGAUGUCGACUCAUCACAUCCUGGGGUUGAAGAAGGUCCCAAGGGUUCGGUUGUUCGCCGAUGAAAGUGGUACGUGAGUUGGGUUUAGAACGUCGUGAGACAGUUUGGUUCCUAUCU